AGAUGACCAGAGAGCCUGCACUUCAAAGCACAGAGAGGAUGAAGUGUUUUGUCAACGAACUAACAGAGGACUCAUAAAACCACAGCACCCUGCAGUGCGUUACUCAGACUGCUCUGCUGGUUUACUUCAUAAAGCAGAGCUGCCUGACUGCAUAUGCUGAUUAAUGCCGCACGACGACUCUGCGAGCACAUCAAAAAGGGUCGCGGGGGCGCUGGAGCCUAUCCCAGCUGUGUUAGGGCGAGAGGCGGGGAGAAAAGCUGUUGUGUUACUCAGCCAUCAGCGUGCUGUUGUCAUGGACUGACUGGCCCAACGCUUCAACAACAGCCUUUCUGGAGGUUUACUCACAGCCAGAUUGUAAAGGAGUCAGCAAUCCAGCCCAGCCCCACCCUACUGGAGCCCACCAUGUCUUUGAUGGCAGAAAAACAGCCAUCAAAGCAGAAAAACCACAUUAUCUUUCUCAGGCUUCCCUUCCAAGCUAGUGAGAGAGAGAGACUGUGUGAAGAGGGGAAAAAAGGCUGGGUUGUUACUGGAAGCAGAAAAUAAAGAAGAUACUGGAGAAUUACCCAUGGUGGAGGGCCUGACAUGGGUGGCAGGAGUUGACUCACAUGCUUGUCAUAGAUGGUGCUUCUCAGCUCAUCUAGGGGAAGACCAAGGAAUUCGCCAAACUAGCCAAACGAGAGACAUAAUGUCUCCAACAUGUCCUGGAUCUGGCCCAGGGCUUCUUCCCAGUAGGUCAUGCCUGAAGAAGCUCACCUAUAAGCAGUAGAAGAGGCAUCCGAGGGAGGUACCCGAACCAUCUCUACUUACUCUCAUUUUAAACCCCAUCCCUUCAGCUCAGAGUGUUCUGAAUCGUGGCAUGGAGCAACCUUCCAAAAAACAGGAGAAACAUUUCAGAAAGUCCCUCUGUUUGGAGCCAAGUGUUAAUGCAAACCCUUUGACUCUACAGGAGGCAGUGAGGAGGAGGAGGUGAAACCAACCCAAGCUGAAGAGCAGCACAGGCGAAUGAUAUCACUUCUCUCUUCAUUAGUCCGGCUUGCAUGUGAUCUCACCCUAUAUUCACAGAGAUUAAAUAUCUAUUUUGCAUUAAGUCAGAGCACAACACAUAAUGUCAAAAGUUACUCUUUUAGAAGAAGCUGUUUAUAUACUCAAGUCUAAAGUGUAAAGAAAUUAGCAGAAAAGAGAAUCUUUUUUUCAUCUAAAGUUUCAUCCUAACCAAAAAAGGUAGGUUUUAAAUAUAUUUUCUAUUGUAACAGAAGAGCUAAAGGUUAUUCCAAGCAAUUUGGACAACUUUGGUGUUUCAUCUGCUGCCAGAGUUUUCCAGUCAAAAUGCUGGUAGCACCCACAAAGAGCUUUCUUAGUUUGGUCAUGUCAGUAUAGACCAUAUCUGUGAAUUGAAGACUUACAGAGAAAAGGGGGACUUCAGUGCUGUAACACCCCACCCACUCCCACGCCCCUCCACUAGUGUGGUUGUUCUUUCUCAUGUCAGCUUAAUGUUUUGCAUUCAACAGCUCUUGGCUGCUGCAUUUAAAGCCAGAAAGAUCACAUGCGCUGUCAUUUUCAGUAAUAGAUUUUGCCACUUUACUAAACACACACAUCAGUCUGUUUAUCAUUGCAAAAGAACAGAUUUGAAUCAUUGUAGUGUCCCACAAAGACUUGUGAUCAAAAUGUGAUUGCUUUUUGCAAAAUUAGACAGGACUUUUAACUUUAUUCAAACUGCAGUUGCCAUUUCGUUUGUAGUUUAUUAUGUCAUCUGCAGCUUUUCAGGGGUUUAUUUCUUGUUCAGUGAAGAAAAUUUACUCUGUUUUGUCUUAGAACAAGUCAGUUAAAGUCAGGUUCAAUGUCUGAAGUGGAAAUGCAACAGCAGACAUGUGAUCAUCACUGACCAGUUGAAGUUUGAUUUUGUUAAACUUCAUGAUUGAGACUGUUUCUUCAUAUGAAUGUAGAUCCACAGAGAGGCAUUUUCUCAGCAUGUCUCAUUAUUUGUGGAAAAUCCUCCUCUUUGAGAGAAGAAUAAAAAUCCAGCAGGCAUACUGACUUGAAGUGCUCUGCCAGUGAUGUAAAGUAAAAGUAAAG